GCUCGUUCGGUACUCCCGGGUCACAGCCGGCUUCGGUCCGGCUCGGGCUGCAGGGAAUAGAGUAGGAGGCCGGAUCUCCCACACCUCUCCCGUGUUUCUGGAAAUGGAUCAGCGCUGCAAUACCCGCUCCUCCUGAGAAUCCACUACACAGAUCACGACAAGGACAUCACUAAGCAAGUUCUGUACAGUUUAUUGAAGAAUAAAGUAAAACUGCUUAUUACA